UACGGAGGGGGCGAGCGUUAUUCGGAAUUAUUGGGCGUAAAGGGUGCGUAGGCGGUCGGGUAAGUCUGGCGUGAAAUCUCCAAGCCUAACUUGGAAACUGCGUUGGAUACUAUCCGGCUCGAGGAAUGGAGGGGAGACUGGAAUACUUGGUGUAGCAGUGAAAUGCGUAGAUAUCAAGUGGAACACCAGUGGCGAAGGCGAGUCUCUGGACAUUUCCUGACGCUGAGGCACGAAAGCCAGGGGAGCAAACGGG
rnacentral:rRNA from 1 species